rnacentral:lncRNA from 1 species
GCCAAGGUCUGCAGCAACACAAAAACACUUUCUAAGUUCCCUUGAUUGGAAACAAAAGGAAGAACCCAUGUGGAACAUCUAUAACAAUCAAGUAAUCGCCCUGGGGAGCAAAAGAGGUUGAAAAGAUGUUGGAAAUGCUGUACAUCUUUUUGGGGUUGAAAGGAAGUUGAAAAUACAUAGUUUCAACCAAUUUUGCUCACUGGGCAGCGGUGAACAAUGAAAUCAACCUAGAGUGAAUCAACUGGGCCAAUGGUGUCGGACAUGUUGUUUUAACAAUGCUAAGAGAAUCACACGUAAUGUUUGUACUGUAUGCCAAGAAAGGAACUUUUAUCAACUUUUAUCAACUUUGCUUUGGUAUGGAUUAGGUAGAACAUUGGAAAUAAUCAUUGUAUGGUGGAAAAGAAUAAAUGUGAGGUGAAGACAUUUUGUACGUUUUUUAUGGUGCUGGCAUUCUGUAUUGUGCAUCUCGACCAAUAGAAAUGAAGCACUCUGUCUUAUAGUUGCUUCUUGACCAAUAAGACGUAAGCAUUCUGUUUUAUGGAUGCAUCUCAACCAAUAGAAAUUAAGCAAUACUUUUUAUCCUUUAAAGAUGCUGUAGUUAUCGAAACUUGACAACCAACCAGGUUUCUUUAGUUUUACUUAGUUUUUAGUUUUUCCUGUUUCGAUUACUGUUUUCUGAUUCAUUUGUUCGGGUUUGUUAUUGAGACUGUUGAUGUUCAGUUGUACAAUAAGAUCUACCCAACAUAAUACCUACCCAACAUAGACCUACCGAACAUAGACCUACCGAACAUAGACCUACCCAACAUAGACCUACCCAACAUAGACCUACCCAACAUAAGACCUACCCAACAUAGACCUACCCAACAUAGACCUACCCAACAUAGACCUACCGAACAUAGACCUACCCAACAUAGACCUACCCAACAUAGACCUACCCAACAUAGACCUACCCAACAUAGACCUACCCAACAUAAGACCUACCUACCCAACAUAGACCUACCCAACAUAGACCUACCCAACAUAGACCUACCCAACAUAGACCUACCCAACAUAGACCUACCCAACAUAAGACCUACCCAACAUAAGACCUAACCAACAUGUAUUGGAAAUAAAUGUUCAAUAAAUGUUUUUUUUAUCAUGUCUGGUCAUAUUUGUAUUGUAUUCAAUCUUUAUUUUAGCAGUGAUUCCUAUUGUUACUGAGGUGUCUUUUACAGAGGAACCCUGCACUACAAGCCCAGCAGCAAUUACACUAAGACCAUUAGACAAAGACCAUUAGACAAAGACCAUUAGACAAAGACCAUUACAC